rnacentral:rRNA from 1 species
AGCGAACGCUGGCGGCAGGCCUAACACAUGCAAGUCGAACGAACCUUUCGGGGUUAGUGGCGGACGGGUGAGUAACACGUGGGAACGUGCCUUUAGGUUCGGAAUAACUCAGGGAAACUUGUGCUAAUACAGAAUGAGCCCUUCGGGGGAAAGAUUUAUCGCCUUUAGAGCGGCCCGCGUCUGAUGAGCUAGUUGGGUGCGGUAAUGGCUCACCAAGGCGACGAUCAGUAGCUGGUCUGGGAGGAUGAUCAGCCACAUUGGGACGGGGACACGGCCCAAACUCUUGCGGAAGGGAGCAGUGGUGAAUCUUGCGCACUGGGCGAAAGCCGGACGCCUCCGUGCCGCGAAAAUGAUGAAGGUCUUAGGAAAGUAAAAUUCUUUCACCGGGGACGAUAUUGCCGUAACCAAAAGAAGAAGCCCCGGCUACCUCCGU